rnacentral:miRNA from 1 species
GGAUGCCCAGCUACAUUUGAAUUUCAGGCCAACAAUAAAUACUUUUUUAAUCUAAAUAUGCCCCAUGAAAUAUUUGGGACAUACAUAUACUAAAAGAUUGUUUGUUAUUAAUCUGAAAUUCAAGUUCAACUGGAUGUC